CUCUGAGUGCUAUACAUGGCUCAGGUGUGGUAUGGUCGCUAGGGAAAGCUCUAUAUAGGAUCUGUAUCAUCUAGAGAAGAAUCUGACUGUGAGCCCAUCUAAGUAAAAGUGAGAGGAAAAAACAACAUUCUUUCUGCUUCCACCUAGACUACUUGGAUCUUGAUUUAAUGUAACAGAGACAGCAUUGAAUUCGAUGAGGCAGUGAUUUACCUCAGCGACUCCCCACCGGGAUAUGGCUACAGAACAAGAACAAUUGCGACUUCAAGAGCUAUCUUCAAGCAAGAGUAAGCCUAUGACAUACCAGCCUUUCUU
rnacentral:lncRNA from 1 species